rnacentral:rRNA from 1 species
UACGUAGGGGGCUAGCGUUGUCCGGAAUCAUUGGGCGUAAAGAGCGUGUAGGCGGCCACGCAGGUCCGUUGUGAAAACUGAAGGCUCAACCUCCAGACGUCGACGGAAACCGUAUGGCUAGAGUCCGGAAGAGGAGAGUGGAAUUCCUGGUGUAGCGGUGAAAUGCGCAGAUAUCAGGAAGAACACCAAUGGCGAAGGCAGCUCUCUGGGACGGUACUGACGCUGAGACGCGAAAGCGUGGGGAGCGAACAGG